rnacentral:rRNA from 1 species
AGAGUUUGAUCCUGGCUCAGAAUCAACGCUGGCGGCGUGCCUAACACAUGCAAGUCGAACGAGAAAGUGGAGCAAUCCAUGAGUAAAGUGGCGACCGGGUGAGUAACACGUGACUAACCUACCCUGAAGUGGGGAAUAACCUCGGGAAACCGGGGCUAAUACCGCAUAACAUCGCGAGGGGAAGAUCCUUGUGAUCAAAGGAGUAAUUCGCUUUAGGAGGGGGUCGCGGCUGAUUAGCUAGUUGGUGAGGUAACGGCUCACCAAGGCAAAGAUCAGUAUCCGGCCUGAGAGGGCGCACGGACACACUGGAACUGAAACACGGUCAGACUCCUACGGGAGGCAGCAGUGGGGAAUUUUGCGCAAUGGGGGAAACCCUGACGCAGCAACGCCGCGUGGAGGAUGAAGUCCCUUGGGAUGUAAACUCCUUUCGAUCGGGACGAUUAUGACGGUACCGGAAGAAGAAGCACCGGCUAACUCUGUGCCAGCCGCCGCGGUAAUUC